UAAGGAAUAUUGGUCAAUGGACGCAAGUCUGAACCAGCCAUGCCGCGUGGAGGAUGAAGGUCCUCUGGAUUGUAAACUUCUUUUAUCUGGGAAGAAAUCCAUUUUUUCUAAAAUGGUUGACGGUACCAGAUGAAUAAGCACCGGCUAACUCCGUGCCAGCAGCCGCGGUAAUACGGAGGGUGCAAGCGUUAUCCGGAUUCACUGGGUUUAAAGGGUGCGUAGGUGGGCAAGUAAGUCAGUGGUGAAAUCUCCGGGCUUAACCCGGAAACUGCCAUUGAUACUAUUUGUCUUGAAUACUGUGGAGGUCAGCGGAAUAUGUCAUGUAGCGGUGAAAUGCUUAGAUAUGACAUAGAACACCAAUUGCGAAGGCAGCUGGCUACACAAAUAUUGACACUGAGGCACGAAAGCGUGGGGAUCAAACAGGAUUAGAUACCCUGGUAGUCCACGCCCUAAACUAUGGAUACUCGACAUUUG
rnacentral:rRNA from 1 species